rnacentral:rRNA from 1 species
UACGAAGGGGGCUAGCGUUGCUCGGAAUCACUGGGCGUAAAGGGUGCGUAGGCGGGUCUUUAAGUCAGGGGUGAAAUCCUGGAGCUCAACUCCAGAACUGCCUUUGAUACUGCAAAUCUCGAGUCCGGAAGAGGUGAGUGGAAUUCCUAGUGUAGAGGUGAAAUUCGUAGAUAUUAGGAAGAACACCAGUGGCGAAGGCGGCUCACUGGUCCGGUACUGACGCUGAGGUGCGAAAGCGUGGGGAGCAAACAGG